rnacentral:misc_RNA from 1 species
AAAUCACGGUUCCUUUAACCAAAAUAACACAACAAAACACUUCCUCUCAGGGAAUCUCUGCACUCUCAGUCCCAGAUAAACCCCCACAUCAAUCUCCCCUUCUCUCUCAAAAACCACCACUUCCACCCUCUCCCUCCACCACCAUGGAGAUCCAAGAAAAGAUCAUACAGUACAAGUACCAUAUCAUCAUCUUCAUCUUCAUUAUCUCUCUCACGCUCUAAUCUUUCUGGCUCCAAGUUUUGUCACGAUCUUGGUCUACUUCUGGCCUCUCCUUCUCUCCACUGCUCUAUUUCUUGUUGCUGUUGUCUUCUUCGGCAAGACGUCUUCACCGGGGACCGAAUCUUCCAGUGACAAAGCAGGCGAGGGCCUCUUGGACUAUGUUGCUGGGCCACCUGAACAAGUGGUAGAAAAUUUCAAGCAAGAGUAGUCCUUGUAGUCUUUCUAACCUAGUGACCUCUGUUUUUCCUUGAUUUUCCUUUUCUUGGAAACUCUUCUUCCCUUUUCCUGGAAACUCUGGUGAUGUGAACUGUGAGUGAUGGGAAGAGUAGUGUGUUUUAUUAGUUAUCGGAUUAUGAAACUGAUCUCUAUCUCCUCUGUUCUAAUUGAAUUGAAUUUUAUUUUAUUUUAUUUUUGGAA